UACAGAGGUCCCGAGCGUUGUUCGGAUUCACUGGGCGUAAAGGGCGCGUAGGCGGCUCUGCACGUUCGUUGUGAAAUCGCCCGGCUCAACUGGGCGGGGUCAGCGGAUACGGCAGAGCUUGAGCAAGCUAGGGGGCAAUGGAAUUCCCGGUGUAGUGGUGGAAUGCGUAGAUAUCGGGAGGAACACCAGUGGCGAAGGCGGUUGCCUGGGGCUUUGCUGACGCUGAUGCGCGAAAGCGUGGGGAGCGAUCCGG
rnacentral:rRNA from 1 species